CACAGCAGCACUGGCAGGCAGAUCUGACGAUGGAAGCACACUUACUAAACUGGAUUAUCAUAUCGCUAUGUGCAGGUUGUUUAGCUUUGGAAGUAAAACCUGUCACAGAUCCUGUAAUCAGCCAGGCUGGAGACAAUGUACAGCUGGAGAUGAAACCCCCUGGAGUUCUGCGUUCAAUGAUAUGGUCUUUCAGCCCUGCAAAUAUCUUUGUGGUGUCGUGGGUCGGAUUCAACCCAAUCGUAGCUCCUGGGUAUGUGAACAGAGUCACCCUGAACGCAACCACAGGAUCACUGGAGUUCUGUGAAACUCAGCGAUUCCGGAGUCUAUACAUUUCAGGGCCUUAUCGAGGGACCAGGAAAUGUGCAAAAUAUCAAUGGGUGUGUUACCUUGAAAGUUUAUGAGCCGAUAACUAAUGUAAAUGUGAAACCCAACCCAGCCCAGCCAAUAGAAAACCAGGCUCUAAAGCUGACCUGCCAGGUGUUUGGAUCACAGACUGCUUUCUCAAGUCUCUGGCUGAAGGACGGUCAGCCCUUGUCCCUAGUGACAGAAUAACAUUGUCUGUGGACAGCAGUGUAGUCUCCUUCAACCCCGUCCUGCAGUCUGAUAACGGAAAAUAUCAGUGUAAAGCGUAUAGCCCUGUAAGUGAAGUGACGAGUGCUGUGUACAGAUUGGAGGUCAAUUAUGGACCAGAGCAGGCAUCUAUUACAGGACCAGACAAAUCCGCUCUCAAUUCAUCUGUGGCAUAAACAUUCUGCACUGAAGAUGUAUUCUUUUUUUGUAUGGUGAGCGGACAACAUUCACUACACUGACCCAAAACAACAAAGUGGUGAAAGGAUAGAGAUGGAAGAAGAGACCACCAGUGAAGACGCCCAAAUCCCAGAAUGGUCCGUUGCAAACCACAGGCUACCCCCAUUACAAACGAUGAAUACGCAGUGAUGAGAAGGAACAGACCAGCAGUGUAGCAGAGCCAGGGUAGGGGUGAAGAGGUGAAUUCCAGCCCCUGACAAAGACCAACAUUUCCACCUGGACCAUCCUUACAUCCAGCGGUCUAUUCAAAUCCUGUACUCCCGCAGUUUAAUAAUUCAGAUAGAACCCACUGUGUAGCAGGGUUAUGCAAACAAACAUCUCAUCCAUUCCCUUUGAGUCUCUGUAAACCAUUACAAAUCACAUUACCAAUCCCUUUGCAUGAGGAAAGCUGCUUUAAAAAAUGACUAAAUAACAAAACUAACAUAACUGUGAGUAACUGUUUAAUUUGAACAUAUAAUGCCCCUCCCAAAAAUUGCCUUUAUCAGAGUUGUUUGUUUUGCUAUUUUGUACUUUAUAAAUGCUGCUAUAAGGAUAUCGGCACUAUUAAUAAUGUAAUCCUAGGGUUGCUCCUUCUACAAUUCUCAAUUAAAAACUCAAAUUCAUCUUCCCUGUAUUUGAGUAAGGGCGUUACAUUAGCAAGUUUGCCCAUCCCUCCCCCACAUCAGCAAUCGUUUACUUUCUAAGGGGUGAAAGGUUAAUUAUUAAACUAGGUGGUUUGUGAUCUCAGAGCUUAUCAUAUAACGUUAAUGACAUUCCAUCCAAACUACAGUACUGAGGGCAGAUUUUGAUGAGUUUAUCACCUAACCUUCACAAGGUGGUGAAUUCAAGAACUGUUUGUUUGUUCAGGAAAAAUAUGCUGAAGAGCAUUAUUAGAUUAGGGGAAGGCAGUAUUCAGUCCCUGUGCAGGUGUAUGUCUACCUGGAUUAUUAAACAAGUCUUUAGCCCCGCGCCCCUAAUACACAGGUAGUAAACAAGCUGUUGUAUCUCGGUUGAGCUAUAAUGCAUCAGAAACACCUUAAAAGAAAUACAUACAAUAAAUGUUUUCAACUUAGUCUGCAUUUUCAGCCCCCCUUGCAAAUAAGACUUUUAUUACACCUUUCUUAAAGAAAUAGUUUACAUUUUUAAAAAGACUAGGUCUAAGUCUAAUGGUGACUCCAAGGUGCCACCUCAUUGGCUUCUAUUGCCCCCCGCCCCCCAAAAAAAAAUAUGUAUAAAAUCGCUGGUACUGAAAAUAUUUCAAACCAUGUGCAUGUUUAGUUAAUGAUUUAAAAUCAAUAAUACAUAAUUAUAUAUUUAUUUUUGUUUUUAUGACUUAGCUUAAACUACAGCUGUG